rnacentral:rRNA from 1 species
UACGUAGGUGGCAAGCGUUGUCCGGAUUUACUGGGCGUAAAGAGCGCGCAGGCGGCUGGUCAAGUCCGAUGUGAAAUCUCCCGGCUUAACUGGGAAACUGCAUCGGAAACUGAUCGGCUUGAAGGUGGGAGAGGGUAGUGGAAUUCCCGGUGUAGUGGUGAAAUGCGUAGAUAUCGGGAGGAACACCAGUGGCGAAGGCGACUUCCUGGCCUGUUCUUGACGCUGAGGCGCGAAAGCUAGGGGAGCAAACGGG